UACAACUUUCAACAACGGAUCUCUUGGCUCUCGCAUCGAUGAAGAACGCAGCGAAAUGCGAUAAGUAAUGUGAACUGCAGAAUUCAGUGAAUCAUCGAAUCUUUGAACGCACAUUGGCCCUUUUGGUAUUCCGAAAGCAUGCCUGUUUGAGUGUCAUA
rnacentral:rRNA from 1 species